rnacentral:lncRNA from 1 species
AUCUCUUGAUCACAAUCCCAAUUCAGGGUUUGGAUCUCAUAUCUGACUUCUCUUUCGCAUAUCAAGUUAAAAUACUUGAUUUAAAUAUUCUGAACAAUUCAUAUAAUAAAAUAUAUAUUAUAUAAAUUCUAAUUAUCACUUCAUAUAUUAUUUCCAAUCAUGUUUUCAUGGAAAAUAAUUAAUAAAAACAUUUCUGCUUACAGAAAUUAAUUACCAUAAAAAUAUAAUUUGUAGUAAUUAAUAAUUCCAAAAUUAUUUCUAAUUUUUCAAGUAAUAAAUAUAUUCGCAUUUAUCGUUCACAUUACUAGACACUUAUUCUCGUCAUUAAAAAAAAAAAAAUUAUACGCAAAUUUUCUUAUUUAUUUUAUUUAGGAAAUCUCGGGUUAUUACAUUCACCCUCCCUUAUAAGGAUUCCGUCCCCGGAAUCACCGCUUUAAAAACUCAUAUGCAGAAGGGUACAUAACAUAUAAUCAUUGUACGUAGAUCUCGAUCAUACUUGAUCGAACUGAUCUUUAACUAUUCUCCAUAACGCUUGUCUAUCUGAUAAACAGAAAUUUGAUCUCUAAAAGAACUCAAAUUCCUUCCUCAAAAUUUCUUUAAUAAAGUAAUUUACUAUAUGUAUAUAUACAGGAAAAUCAUAUAAGACACAUAAGUUAUUCAAAUAGCACCUGGAGUUCUAUUUCCAGCUGCCACCGUAUCCUCAACUGCUACGAUAUCUUGAACGACCAUAAUGAAGACACUUACGGUUUAUUUCGUUGUCGCCUAUAUCUUGCUGUCAUUUCUCGUAUUCACAUUCCUUAUCUCAUUUCUCCUUCUUUCACCUUAUACUCUUUCAUCUUAUACUCCAUUGAUUCAUAAAUAAAACAUUCGCUAUACAUCAUUGAAUUGAGACAAUUAGAAGAGAUAUGUCUCUUCUGCCCUCACACAAAGCACACAAACUUUUUCUUUAUCUCAUUUUCCUUUUAUCGUAUAGGUGAUAAAAUUUGUCUUUUGCCCUUUCUGUUAUCCUAACUAUCAUAAAGCUUCUACUGAGUCACUUAAUCCUCUAUACCCUAGAAAUAGGAUUGCCUUAAAGUCUUUGGUGUUCGACGUUCGAUUAUCUGGUUGAUCUUCCGCGCCUGGUUUUCGUUUUCGUCUCGGUGACAUAAUCAUAAAUUAUUCUUCAUUUCCUUACAUUCUAAGCCUCAUCGUAUACGUUCGAUAUAUAAACACAUCAACGCCUAUCUUUCUGCCGAAAGGCAGCUCCAUCCACUCUGCAUCGAAUCGCAUAAAGGCGAUGUCUAAAGCCUGCUCCAAGGUAUAUAUCCCGGUGUCUUUGGCUUCUAUCUCAACCUUCAAUUGUCCUAUCUGUAUCUCUCUCUGCUCCAACCUCCCUCGUAACUCGGCUAAUUCUAUCUGUGCUCGGUGAGCAGCGUCCUUGUACUGCUGUUCUAAAAUCUGGAGAGUACGAUUCUGUGCCUCUGCUUGCUCAACUCUAACCUUUAAGUCGUCGUUCCUAACUAUCAAAUCUCUUAUCAUCUCACUGUCUGUGUACUCCUCGCUAGAGUC